rnacentral:lncRNA from 1 species
UUUGCUAUACAGUGAGAUGGCAUGGCUGGCAGCUUGACCUUCUCUAAUAUGAUGUAGAUAAGUGUUGAAGCAACAGAAAACAGGACUCAGACAGGUGGACCAGCUGUGACUUCUGAUUUACAUUGCUGACCUGCGCCUAGCUUGGCAGAUGGAGGACCAGAAGACUUCUGUCAUCCCUUUGCUCUCCAGCCUGCACCCUCCCUGCAGUAUACAACUUGCACAAACUUCCUCUGUGAUGUUUCUGCCCUGGGUGCAGGAGGGAAUCCAAAGAGGGAGCUUCAGAGGCUGUGGAACUUCCUGAAAUGGAAUGCAAAUUGUAGUGUUUUACAAAUCUAUGCUUGUCCUCCGCAGAGACACCAUAGUUUCCUCUGAAUUCUCAAGAAGUUCAUAGCAGAAAUGCUUAAGAAUCACCACUCCAGACACAUAACCUUGUAAGACCCUCAGUCUUAGAGUUCACAGACCUGGUUUUGCACUUUCAUUUUUCAAACUGUGAGCUGAAUGACUUUCUCCAAGUGAAUUGAACACUCUUUGUUUUCCUUUUUUGUUGUUUUCAUGUUGAUGUUGUUCUUGCUUCAUGCACAUAGUACAAAUAAAUAUUCUUAGUGGGUUUAAACUC